CUGAGAGGACGAGGAGCACCAGGAGUGUGCCACUGACGGGGCCCAGACAGUGACAGUGGAGCAGAGUGUGGACGGAGCCCAGAGCAGGCGCAGAGACUGACUGCAGUCGAUGGCUUUGAAGAUUCUUAGGGAUGCACAAGAAGGCAGAGGCGGAGUCAGUGUGCUUAUUGCAGAAGUGGUGGUGUGACCUCCGGAGACUGCACCUCCAGAAGCCGUGCACCCUACUGCUCUUAUCCUUACAACCCCAUCACCCUGGGAACAAGACCAGCAUGCUCUGUUCUCUGUUGGAAGAACAGAGGCCACUCGGAGGAGAGUCCAGCUGUCGCAGCUUGCAAGCAUCAGAGAUCUCACACUGCUGAGCCGCAGGCAAUGUGAAGACUCCAAGACGAGGACAAUUCAGACUAAGGAGAGACCAGUUUUGGGCAGCAGUGAAAAGAGAAGGUCAUGAGACAUCUCUGAAGGUCAAUCCAGUCCUCCUGAGUCGUCCCGGAUUUCUCUUUCACGGUGGUUCCAGCCUAAUGGUUGCGGAGCUCCUUUGGCCCCAGCUUCCAUGCAGCACUCGGCGCUGACCCCCGGAGGUCCUGAGAGUCAGAAGUGCAUUUCGCCCAUGCUGCUUGUUAUCGGCUUAGCUUCUGCAGUGGCAGAACAGGAAAGACAUCUCACAGCACUGUGCACCACGCUGCCCUGCACCGAGCUCCUCGUACCUACAAGAAGUGUAUAACAACAGAGCCAGGACACAGGUUUGAGAGGAACAUGUGCCCACUGCAUCCAUCAAUGCCUGCAGGCCUGGGUGCCCAGCAACCACAAGAAACAUCCUGUGCCCUUACAGACUUCUCCCUCCCCAAGUCUCAACCUCCUUUCCUCAAGCCUCAAAAAUUUCUGCUCUCCCCCGAGCACCUGUCCUCCCUUACCCAAAUCACCCCGCUCUUGGCACUGAUGGUCUCUUCGCCCUUGGCCCACCUACACCUAGGCUGAAAUAAACUCCAUUUGUUGCUUUAACUUUGCCUGAUUCAG